rnacentral:tRNA from 1 species
GGUUGUGGCUCAUUGGUAGAGUGCUGGCCUUGCAUGCAUGGGGCACUGGGUUCUAUUCUCAGCACCA